GGUCCUGUAGCUCAGUGGUUAGAGUGCUCGCCUCCGGAGCGAGAAGUCGACGGUUCGACCCCGCCCAGGAUCG